AAAUGAGUAAUUGCCACAAAUGACCGUCAUUAAAUGUCCACGAAAUGAUUUGAUUGGAUCACUGGUGUUUUUCGACUUUGCUCGCGUCAUAUUUCAUUGUGCUUGGCGCUUCACUUGAACUUCAUGGUCGUUUGGGAAUUCUGGAACAGCAGAUUCGAAGUUUGAAGCAAAAGUUCCGACGAUAGAAGAAGGUAGCUUGCCAAUAAUUAUCCUUUGAAUUCAUUCGCAAAUUGUCCAUGCAUGUUUAGUAUGUUUUUGUACAACUGCAGGACCGUGUUAACUAUAAAAGGGACACCGAUCUAUAAUAUAUGUCGGCUAAUAUUAAUAGAGUUUAGACCCGUUGCUUUGUUUACCUGUUUCUUGAAGGGGAACAAUAUUUUUACUGUGAUGAUGUCAUAUAUAUUGUGAUGAUACAGUUUAUCUGCUAGCAACAAGGGACCUCAGCCCCAUUUUUUAACAAUACGGUAUAUGAUUAUACUUCUGAAGGGGAGGUUUAUAGCUUAUUAAUUGAAACCAAUCAACUUGCAUUUGCCUGUAUUUAUAUGCCAUUUAUAUAGAAGCCACACUGGCCAGCUUACUAUGUAACAAUUACAGUGCGCUUAUACGGUAUGGACAAACAGGCUGGCCUGUGUCCCAGCAGAUUUGGACCCCUCUCGACAUGGACCCCCCCACCCCAGUCGAAAUUCACUAUUGAAUAUGGGCUGGAGAGUCUAUGGGGGUCUUUAUAAUUAUAAAACAAAUUAGGAGUCCAAAUCCGCUCUUUAGCGGAUUUGGACUCCUAGUUUGUUUUAUAAUUUGGACUCCUAAUGAAUUUUAUAAUUUUUCAGCAAUGUUCAUAGGUUUAUUUCUAUGAUCUUCGAAUGUGUGAGAAGUGCAUGAAGUCUUCACAAGUAUUUUCCACCUUGGAAUUGCUCUGACACUGAACUGCUCGAAUAAAAAUGGAAAAUGAAAAUAUCUUUCAAAUUAUUUUUGUCUUAAUUAACAUGCCCAUAGGCCAUAACAAAGUGAUGCAUUUCAUUCAACCCUAAAUUUUUAUCAAAUUAGCAUCUCAAUAACUUAUUCUUGUCAUUAACCCUUUAAGUGUCAAUGCACCCUGAUGCACCCUACUUUAGUAUUUUACUUAGACUAGGAUCACGUGCAAUCUCUCAAGAGUCUGAGGGAUCGGACGCACAAGGUGCAAUAACAUGGGUAGAGAAACAGACUUGAUCCAAGUCUAUAUUUUACUCUGUCUAAUGCCAGAAGAUUUAAUUUACUCAUCAAGUGGAGAGUGCUGCCACUCAUUAAGCAAAGUUAUGCCAUUAUCAUAAUUUCAAUUAAACUGAUGUUUAAAUUUCCAUGCACAUUCAACUGAAAAUUGUUUCUCAUAAAAAUCAACAAUAAUUUAAAGCAAAAGUACAGUGUUGGGACCACUGUACAUAAUUUUCAUAGUUACGUGAACUUAUAGUUUUUGCAGCAUGCAGACUGAAAAAGGUUUUAAGAUUCUUGAGAAUAUAAUAUUAUCUAUAAUUUCAUCAUAGAUAGCCCACAACUACUCAUAUAUUAAUUAAUUCUUAAAUAAAAAAAUUCUUUUUUCUGUAGUUAGCGGGUCCAAUUCCACAGAAGGGGGUACACACCAGCUAGUGGAUAUGUACCAUAGGGGUCUGAAUCUGCUAUAAACGGAUAUGGACUGGGGGUCCAUAUCCAUGGGAGUCAAAAUCUGCUGUGACAGGUUGCCUAGAUUUUGCUUGAAAGAGCUGAAAGAUCUCUCUUAUUGGAAUGAAACUACUCCAUAUAAACACUCACAACUGGGCAGGUCCAGUUGCCGGAAUGAAAGUUUAAAGAUAUAAUGCAUGUCAAGGCAACAAAAUUGUCCCGGCAAGCAGGAUGAAAUUUUCUCGUAUAAACACAGGGAAUUUUAUUCCACAUUCCACUUACCUGACUGGAUUUUUUAAUAUUGAAAGAUUGGUAUUUAAAAGAAGUGUAGCAAUACAGAGUAAAUAGCUAGGGCACAAUGCAACUAAAUGGGUUAAUAACAUUUGAGUGCAUACAGUAUACUCACAGUUAGUAUGUUAUGGAUGGGGUGCUUUUAAUUAAUCUGAACAAUAAUGUUACAUACGGGCAUGUUUCGGGUCUCAUUAACCCAUAUAAGAUGCAAAAACAGUGCAUGCAGAGACAUUUGAUGUGUCAUUUACACACCUGUUUUACAUGUGCGAAAAAAUGUCUUUAGUACCGGUACUGUAGUUUGUUUUCAUCAGGGCAUGUCCUCCAAUCAAUGGUUGGGUUUAAGUAUAUAAAUAGUAAUUCAUUCUUAUUUGGUUUAGGUUACAAAAAGUAUUUUAACUCACCAUGGACGAAUAUGGCACAGUGUUCAAUGAUCCUGUUCAUGGCUAUAUUGAGUUAGAACCACUGUUGAUGUGCAUCAUUCACACUCCAGAAUUUCAACGAAUGAAAGACAUCAAACAGCUUGGAGCUACAUACUGGGUGUACCCGGGUGCUUCGCACAAUCGAUUUGAACACUCCCUCGGCACUGCUUACCUAGCUGGCAAGAUGAUUGAAACGUUAAGGCAAAUUCACAAAGCUGAAAUAGAAAUUACUGACGAGGAAGUAUUGUGUGUCAAAAUUGCUGCACUCUGUCAUG
rnacentral:lncRNA from 1 species